rnacentral:tRNA from 1 species
UCCCUGGUGGCUCAGAUGGUAAAGCAUCUGCCUAUAAUGUGGGAGACCCAGGUUUGAUCCCUGGGUCGGGAA